ensembl:lncRNA
UGUGUGUGUGAGCCUGUGUGUGUCUGUGAGCCUGUGUGUGUGUGUGUGUGUGUCUGUGAGCCUGUGUGUGUCUGUGAGCCUGUGUGUGUGUGUGUCUGUGUGUGUGUGUGUGUCUGUGUGUCUGUGUGUGUGUCUGUGUGUCUGUGAGCCUGUGUGUGUCUGUGAGCCUGUGUGUGUGUGUGUCUGUGUGUGUGUGUGUGUGUGUGUGUGUCUGUGUGUGAGCCUGUGUGUGUCUGUGAGCCUGUGUGUGUGUGUGUGUGUGUGUGUGUGUGUGUGUGUGUGUGUGUGUCUGUGAGCCUGUGUGUGUCUGUGAGCCUGUGUGUGUGUGUGUGUGUGUGUGUGUGUGUGUGUGUGUGUGUGUGUGUGUGUGUCUGUGUGUGUGUCUGUGUGUCUGUGAGCCUGUGUGUGUGUGUGUCUGUGAGCGUUCACAUGGUGUGACAGGUUUGAGUUUACACCUAUUUCCUGCCUGUGUUACCUGAAAGACCGGUGACCUUUGACCUUCAGCAGCGCCACCUUCAGGUUAAAGCCUUCAAACUGAGCGUCCGACGUGUGAGUGCUGCAUGAUUUAUUCUACACGUGUGGAAGGAGGGCUUCUUCCUGUCCCUGCCUUUCACAAUAAAAGCCCUGGACAUGCACACUAUGUGACUGAGAUUUCAUUUGUGAGGUCAAACAGCUGAUUUCUGUUUAUGAACGUCUCAUGCCCCACUGACUCACAUCCAGCUGUCCAGAUCCACAGACUGAUCCUAACAAGCUCCUGCAGAGGUCAAAGGUCGCCUGUGUCCUUCUAACGCCCCUGUUCUUCCCUUCUGUGAUGCCAUACAUGUAACAUGAAUGUCUACGAUGCUGCUGCUGACCCUGACAAUGAUGAUGAUGAUGAUGAAUAUAUUUCUGUAGAUUCUUUUUAUUGUUAGUUUGAUUUUAGUGACAUUGACCACAUGCAAAUCUGUGUUUGUACAGAGUGUGUGUGUGUGUGUGUGUGGGGGGGGGGGUUAAUGAUCAGCACUGAUCAAUGAGAGUGUCAGUAGAGAGGACAGUAGAGACGACAGUAGAGCUCCUGAAGCACAGACCACCUCAACACAGCGGAAAUACCUCAGACUUUUCUACGAGCUGGAUUUUUACAUUUUGAUGUUUGUGAUCUUUUAUUGUUUACU